AUGUUUUCUGUAGCUCUGCUGCUGCUGCUGGCAGCUGGAUGUGUGAAGUGUGAACAGUUGACACAGCCAGCCUCUGUGACUGUGCAGCCAGGUCAGAGUCUGACCAUCACCUGUCAGGUCUCUUAUUCUGUUAGCAGCUACUUCACAGCCUGGAUCAGACAGCCUGCAGGGAAAGGACUGGAGUGGAUCGGUAGCGGAGCUGGAUCCACCAGAUACUACCAAGAUUCACUGAAGAACCAGUUCAGUAUCGACUUAGACUCUUCCAGCAACAGAGUGACUCUGAACGGACUGAAUAUGCAGACUGCAGACACUGCAGUGUAUUACUGUGCCAGAGACCCACGUGUGACAGGGCUUUGUGGUCAGGAAGAUGAUAGCAUCCUCCACACCAAUGUGCCUCUGAUAUGCAAACUGCAACGGAUCCUGGAAAGCAGUGAGCAGGGUCCUCAGGUGCUGGAGAACCAGCCUCUCAAAUGUCUUCAUGACACGUGA